UUUUAUCAGCUAGUUCAUGCUUGCGUUGAAAGAGUGGUCGUUUGCGCUGGGUCAUCACUGUGUAGUAUUGGGGAUACUUAGGUGAGAAAAAAACUUAACGCUAGAGACGUUCACGCACUAGUGGAGAAGCCAGGAUUGUUGCCCUAGAGUUACAGUAGAUAAAAGUACCUCAGAGAACUGCGGGGGCUCCCAACCUGGACGCUUGCACCGGAGUAUUAAAUCCAGCUAGAGAAUGGCAUGUGCAAAGAUACAGAGUUCUGUAAACCAGAAAUCUAAAAUCAGU
rnacentral:lncRNA from 1 species